rnacentral:rRNA from 2 species
AAGUGGUACGCGAGCUGGGUUUAGAACGUCGUGAGACAGUUCGGUCCCUAUCUGUCGUGGGCGCUGGAGAACUGAGGGGGGCUGCUCCUAGUACGAGAGGACCGGAGUGGACGCAUCACUGGUGUUCGGGUUGUCAUGCCAAUGGCACUGCCCGGUAGCUAAAUGCGGAAGAGAUAAGUGCUGAAAGCAUCUAAGCACGAAACUUGCCCCGAGAUGAGUUCUCCCUGAGACUUAGAGUCUCCUGAAGGAACGUUGAAGACGACGACGUUGAUAGGCCGGGUGUGUAAGCGCAGCGAUGCGUUGAGCUAACCGGUACUAAUGAACCGUGAGGCUUAACCUUACAACGCCGAAG